ensembl:rRNA 5S_rRNA 5S ribosomal RNA
GCCUACAGCCACACCACCCUGAAUGCACCCGAUCCCGCCCGAUCUCGGAAGUUAAGCAGGGUUGGGCCUGGUUAGUACUUGGAUGGGAGACCGCCUGGGAAUACUGGGUGCAGUAGGCA